GUUAAAAGUGAAUUACAAUUUUUUCAAGACCAUUCUAAAACUUAACAUAUUAACCUUUAUUUCACAUUUUAGAAAGCCUCAUUAAUUUUGAGUAAUCAUAAUCAACAAGAAGAAAACAAAUAAAAGCACAGGUUGUGAAUCAUGCCUGGUCCAUAGGCUAUGGUGUGGAUACUUUGGUUUAUUAAAAUAUAUGAAUGAAAUGUAUAUACAAAAACUACAAUUAUAAAAAGACAAAAAAAUCUUACAUAUUUUUGAAAAAGGCUGAUCUUGAACUCACAUUAAUAGCAUCAUCAAUAUGAAAGAUUUUUAUAUUCACUUACGUAAAGAAAACUACAGUGAAAAAUCUAUGAGUCCCCCCCCCCCCAAUAAGCUACAUUGGCAGACACCCAUGUAUUUAUGAUAUUAGCAUAAUAUUUUACCCAAGAAAGGUAUUUCAAUUACAAAUACUUAAUCUAUAUAUCAAAACACAAAUCCAGUUUUCCAAAUUUGCAUAUUUGUUGUGCUAUAUGAAAACCCUGUUAAUAUUUGGUAAACUGAAAUGUUUUAUUUCAGUACUUAGGGUAAUGUAGACUCCCCCUAAGCAUAAUUAGCACCUUGGAUAUUAAAUACUUAUGAUAAAUCUUAGAAAACCAUACAUCUUAAUGCAUUAAUUGUAAAUAAAGCCAAGACCUUUUAUGGGGAAAAUCUAGAAUAAAAUAAGAUGACAUCUUACAAGGAUUCUCUGAGCUUCAAAUUUUUGUAGAAACAGUAUUUAAAAUAGAAAACCCUAAGCACCAUUUGUCUAGACGAAUCAUAUUAAUUGACAGAAUCCUGGACUGGAUUGGAAGUCACUUUCAAACAACCACUUUAUGGCUUUCAGGUUGGGUCAACCUGAAAUAUCGAGUUUCUAUUUUGAGAGGGUUGGGAUGCAGCUAAAAGGCAAAUUGAGUGCUUUUUUCCUCAUCAUGGAUGAGUUUUAGGAGAUAAAAUGCUAUUUAAAUUUUUUUAAGUAUCCUCAAAUACAAAAAUGCAUCUGAAAAUAUUGGUCCUGUCUAUUCAAGUGACUCAGGAGCUUACCAACUGACAGAGCAUAAGAGAAAGUGCUGCCUGAAGACCCAGAAGCAAAGUUUAACUCAACCUUCCAUAGGAAGAUGCCUCUCAGAUGUACCAAGGCUUCAGUUUUCCUGAUCCUUAGAAGAGUCACGUAUAAGAUGGUUUUGGAAACAAUGGCUGUACUUAGUAUCAGUUAUCUCCUCAGCAUUAUACAAAUCCAAUCAGUUUAAAGUGCUUGGACCAUACAGGCAAUAUGUAGAAAGCAAGGAAAGUGAUUAAAACAUAGGGAAGAGAAAACUAAUGAGGCUCAGAAUCAUCUAUCUGUGUCAUAAUAAUAAACCCUGCAGAAUAAUUUGUGGCAAUAGUUUCUUUU